rnacentral:lncRNA from 1 species
CUAGAUGAUAAUAUUGUCCUGAAAUGUAGAUGUUUUAAAUCUAAUGAGCUAUGCUGAAAUAACUACUUUUUUCCUGGUUUCCACUCACGUGCAAUUACAUUCUUAACUGUAAAUUGAUAUUUAUCAACUUCUUCUAUCUAGUCUUUGAUUCGAUUUGAUUUGAAGUUCACAAGUUUUCUUUCCUCCUCCACACAGUUUAGGUGUAAUUUAGCUGAAGUGCUGCGCUGUACCAGCAGUGUUUGUAUCUUAGAGCUAAUUUAGUGUCAACUCCUUUCUUGUAGGACCUGAGCUGGGAUGCCUGAGUCUCCUCUCAGUCCCACAGCAGCCCGUCAAACUCCAGCCAGCAGCCUCCUCAGUCACACAGACAACGGUGCAGGAGAGAGAGCAGCUAAUGGGGACUCCUGCAGUGGAGUGAGUGCUGAAAACUGGCAGAGUCUCCACCAUAAACAGGUGUUUCUGGCUAUGAUGGCUCCUCAGCAGAUGCAGCACCUUCUAUCCCCCAACCAGCUGCAGGCCCUGAUCCACCAGAAACAACAAGCCCUAAUGCUCCAGCAGCAACAUCUGAAAGAGUUUUACAAGAAGCAACAACAACAGAUUCACCUGCAGCUGCUUCAACAGCAGCCCAGCAAGAAAGUCAAAGAGGUAAGAGGUUAUCUAUGUAUAUGAAUAUAUAUAUUUUAUAUUUUAUUUAUUUUAUAAUUCUGUCCUUGCUUUAGUU